UUUUUCUAUAUACAUGAACCAUGGAGCAAACAUUCGAUUGUGAUCCAGGCAACAGUCUCACUUGAAAACAAUACCGCACAUCACCUCUUAUCAGGCAAACGUAAUACCUUACAUUACUUUUGAUCCUUAGUAAUGAUGGCCAAAUACAUGAGGAACGGUGUCCAAGCAGUUAUACUACUUUCUUUUGUCAUUGUGGUGUGCUUUGCCUGCCUUGGAUGUGCGAACGGUGAAAGCAUCAAUGACAAGGGGAGCAACGGGAUGAUCGAAGUAGUCCGCCCCCCUUGUUAUAAAGACCAUCAACAGCCCCCAAGCCUGCAAUAUUGCUGUCAAACGGACAGGAUAUGUUGGGUAAACCUUGGGGAAUGCUUCACAAACUGCCCGUGCAAGAUUAAUUGCCCACCGCCACCAGCAACACAGUAGUUGUGCCAUCUCUCAUUCUUUGGGUUAAUAAAUCCCGACCUUAUGGGUCCCGAGAUAAUCAUGUGUUGAUCAGCUAGCAAAUUUGCUAGAAAAUUUUCUAGAAAUUUGAUCCGCCAUUUAAAUAAAUAAUAAAAAACUAGCGACUUGCGCUCCCUCA